CAGAAAACCCAUCCCACGAGCAACAGCAAGCAUCUACUUCGUUAUAGAGAUCUCCAAAAUCAAACCUGCCACCUUGCCUGUGGAGGUAUUCUUCACUCUGGAGUCCAGCAGGCUGAUUCACAGGCCAGAACAGUGCCAGUUUAGAGAAAAGUGGCUUAAGGACAUCAUUGAAAAUAAAAUAAUCCUCAUGGAAAGACAGACUUUCUAAUGAACAGCUCCAAUUCACUAUCGCCAACGCUCUUGUUGGUAGUUUGUGGAGAAUCAAAUAAACACAAUGAAGAAU